UUAAGUAUUGGAAGGCUGCUCUAAGGUCUCCCUGGCGCCUUCUCUUCUCCAGGCUGAACAAGCCCAAUUGUUAGCCUGUCUCCAUAGAAGAGGUUCUCCACCCCUCUCAUCAUAUUUGUGGACUUCCUCUGGACUCACUCUAACAGGCCCAUGUCCUUCUUGUGUUGGGGGCCCCAGAGCUGGACGCAGUAUUCCAGGUGGGGUCUCACAAGAACAUAGUAGAGGGGCAGGAACACCUCCUUUGACCUGCUGGUCACACUCCUUAUCCACCAAUGGUGUAACUCUGUUGUGGAAGGCCACCAAAUUUGUCAGGCAUGAUUUGCCCUUAGUGAAGCCAUGUUGGCUGUCACCAAUCAUCUUAUUUUCCAUGUGUCUUAGCUUAAUUUCCAGGAGAAUCUGCUCCAUGGUCUUGAUAGGCACCAAGGUGAGACUGCCUGGCCUAUAGUUCCCUGGGUCUUCCCUUUUUCCCUUUUUAAAAAUGGGGGUUCAUUUUUUUUUCCCCAGUCAGUGGGAACUUCACUGGACUGCCACCACUUCUCAAAUAUGAUGGAUAGUGGCUUAGCAACUUCAUCUUCUAGUUCCCUGGGGAUCCACAGAUGCACCUCAGCAAGUCCUAUGCACCUUCAUGUCCUAUAGUCCUUUGCUUCUUAUCUUAUACCAAUUUACCACCCCACAUGAAAAUCUCAUCUUUUGCUAUAAGACUUCAUAAAAAACUUUUGGAUAUGCAAGUAAACUGUACCAGUGUGGUCACCCUUUUCCAUCUGUUUAUCCUCUGUCAACAUUCAUAGAUUUUGGUGGUGUGACUUCCUUCCUCAAAAGCUUUGUUGACUGUGCCAUUAUAUUGAAUUUAUCCAUGUGUAAAUAUAUUAUGUUCUUAGUUGCAAGUAGUAUAUCUGGUCUGGAAACCAAACAAAUUGUGUCUAGUUUUCUGGACCACCUCUGUUCCAGAACCAUUUUUCAAAUAGUGGUAUCACUUCUGCCACUUUCUGUAUGUCUGAGAUGGAGACCAGUUUUCAAUAUUUUAUUUUCUUCUGAACUUUUGGGUAACACCACAUGAAUGUAGGGAUUUACUAUUAAUUGUUAUGAUGUAUUUUAAAACCUCUUCUACUGACAUUUUGAUAUUAAACAUUUGCUCAGACUCAUUCCUUCAGAUUCCACUGUGAAAAAUUCCAUAAUCUUUCCUGUAAUGAAAUCUGAUACAGAGAAUUAAUUUGUGUUCUUCUGAUUCUGGCUAAAAUCCCCCAGGUUUUCACUAACAAAACUGACUUAGGUUUCCAUUACUAAAAAGUCUCCAUCAUUUCCACAGAAGUGUUACAGAUCACCAGGAGUUAAAGAAAUUGCAGAAGGAAAAGCCUUAUUAGCUCAAUUGUUUAUUCUCCUUGUCUGGUCUGAGAUCACUGUGAUGACUAUGCCAGAUAAAGUUAUCAUCUGUGGAAACUGGGCAUUCUAGUAUCUCUGCUACACCCAUUAGUGAAAUAUCAAGAUAUCUAGGAGACCUUUAAAAGUAGGGAUGUUAUUUUUUUAUUUUCUUCUUUUCUCUUCUUUUGCAAUUUAUUUUAUUGGAGUCUUGUUGGAAAUCUUCUUCCUGACAGACUAUAUAUUAAAAAAAAAAUAAUCUGCAGCUAUAGUCCCAGUCAAGAAGGAUUAAUUGACUUUAAUGGUUCCUUUGAAUUAAGACUGUUGCUGUCUACUCACAUGACUUCCAAGGCCUUUUUAUUUAUUCAACUUCCUUCAAUGAUUCUGGGCUCUGACUUCGCAUGUUGUGGAUCUUUAAUCAUGAAUUAUCAGCCAGCUGGAACAGCAGGAGAAGGAUAGUUCAUACAUGUACACAGAAGCUCCACUGUUUCCUGUCUAAUGCUGGCAGAGAAAUUACCAGAAGCUUACCACUCCAACAAGUUUUAAGCAAGGUAUCAUCUGUUCCUCAGAGCAUUUUCUCUUCUGCUUGCUUGGAAACAUGGUCCAGACAAGGAUCAGAUGGUUUUUGUCAUCUCCAGGAUAGAUUAUUGAGUUGUGUCACAUCUGAAGCUGAAUGUGAACAGAGUGUGGAAGUUCUGGCUUGUUUAGAAAUUGGCUGUACACUUUCUGAAGGGUUCAAGCCUGUGCUCAAAUCUUUCCCAG